CUCAGGACGAACGCUGGCGGCGUGCCUAAUACAUGCAAGUCGAGCGGACAGAAGGGAGCUUGCUCCCGGAUGUUAGCGGCGGACGGGUGAGUAACACGUGGGUAACCUGCCUGUAAGACUGGGAUAACUCCGGGAAACCGGAGCUAAUACCGGAUAGUUCCUUGAACCGCAUGGUUCAAGGAUGAAAGACGGUUUCGGCUGUCACUUACAGAUGGACCCGCGGCGCAUUAGCUAGUUGGUGAGGUAACGGCUCACCAAGGCGACGAUGCGUAGCCGACCUGAGAGGGUGAUCGGCCACACUGGGACUGAGACACGGCCCAGACUCCUACGGGAGGCAGCAGUAGGGAAUCUUCCGCAAUGGACGAAAGUCUGACGGAGCAACGCCGCGUGAGUGAUGAAGGUUUUCGGAUCGUAAAGCUCUGUUGUUAGGGAAGAACAAGUGCAAGAGUAACUGCUUGCACCUUGACGGUACCUAACCAGAAAGCCACGGCUAACUACGUGCCAGCAGCCGCGGUAAUACGUAGGUGGCAAGCGUUGUCCGGAAUUAUUGGGCGUAAAGGGCUCGCAGGCGGUUUCUUAAGUCUGAUGUGAAAGCCCCCGGCUCAACCGGGGAGGGUCAUUGGAAACUGGGAAACUUGAGUGCAGAAGAGGAGAGUGGAAUUCCACGUGUAGCGGUGAAAUGCGUAGAGAUGUGGAGGAACACCAGUGGCGAAGGCGACUCUCUGGUCUGUAACUGACGCUGAGGAGCGAAAGCGUGGGGAGCGAACAGGAUUAGAUACCCUGGUAGUCCACGCCGUAAACGAUGAGUGCUAAGUGUUAGGGGGUUUCCGCCCCUUAGUGCUGCAGCUAACGCAUUAAGCACUCCGCCUGGGGAGUACGGUCGCAAGACUGAAACUCAAAGGAAUUGACGGGGGCCCGCACAAGCGGUGGAGCAUGUGGUUUAAUUCGAAGCAACGCGAAGAACCUUACCAGGUCUUGACAUCCUCUGACAACCCUAGAGAUAGGGCUUUCCCUUCGGGGACAGAGUGACAGGUGGUGCAUGGUUGUCGUCAGCUCGUGUCGUGAGAUGUUGGGUUAAGUCCCGCAACGAGCGCAACCCUUGAUCUUAGUUGCCAGCAUUCAGUUGGGCACUCUAAGGUGACUGCCGGUGACAAACCGGAGGAAGGUGGGGGAUGACGUCAAAUCAUCAUGCCCCUUAUGACCUGGGCUACACACGUGCUACAAUGGACAGAACAAAGGGCUGCGAGACCGCAAGGUUUAGCCAAUCCCACAAAUCUGUUCUCAGUUCGGAUCGCAGUCUGCAACUCGACU
rnacentral:rRNA from 2 species